AAUAUUGCACAAUGGGGGAAACCCUGAUGCAGCGUCGCCGCGUGAGCGAAGAAGGCCUUCGGUUCGUAAAGUUCUGCCCUAAGGGAAGAAACGUACGGUAUCUUAGCAGGUAGUUCCGGCUAACUACGUGUCAGCAGCCGCGGUAAUACGUAGGGGGCGAGCGUUAUACGGAAUUAUUGUGCGUAAAGGUUGCGUAGGCGGCUUUUUAAGUCAGAUGUGAAAGGCUACGGCUUAACCGUAGUUAGCAUUUGAAACUAAAAGGCUUGAGUGCAGGGGAAGAGAGUGGAAUUCCUAGUGUAGCGGUGAAAUGCGUAGAUAUUAGGAGGAACACCAGUGGCGAAGGCGACUCUCUGGACUGCAACUGACGCUGAGGCACGAAAGCGUGGGGAGCGAAC
rnacentral:rRNA from 1 species